rnacentral:tRNA from 1 species
GUGACCGUAGUUCAAUGGUAGAGCCCCAGAUUGUGGUUCUGGUUGUUGCGGGUUCGAGUCCCGUCGGUCACCCCA